GGGUCAGUUAUAAUAUACCGAGGAGGCGAAGAAUAAGAAGGAUAAGGGUUAGAGGGAAGUGGACAGCGAAGCCGGACGAAGGUACCGACCUUGAUGUUCCACAGUUUAGGUUGCCCCUAAAUUAAUCGCCGUCCCUAGGUGCCACCACAACCUGACCACCUUUUCCAUCGGCUAAGUGACCCGUAGUGGCGAAGACUGACGGAGCUAACCAAUACAGUAGCAGUCACAGUAGCUGUAACGCCUGGUUAGCCGUGGGAGUUACCGCGGUCCAUCACACGUUCGCGCCCAUGUCUAGCUACCCACGGGAGAUGGCCGUGUUGACAUAUCGUACGUACUAGGUACCGCGGCCCGUUGUACGUUCGAGACGACGUCUAGCUACCAAGUAUCAUCUUCGCUGUUCUUUCCGUUGGACUUCCAGAGGCGCGGAAGUACAAUCCAGGCGCUAAGGAGCUCACGAAGAAGUACCUCAGACAUCCGCUUCUUGACCUCCUUCCUCCUACUUCCUACCUGCCACUGACUGUAAAUAAUCCGUCCUAAUCUAUACGAUUUAACAAACUAAUGGUACCAGUGGUUCCGUGAAUCUACAUAGAUACGAACCGGUGUCUUCAGUGUAAGUCAAAAGUAGACAAAGUUAUUCGGCGAUACUUUGACAGGCGACUAACAGGGAUGUCAACGAAUGAUUACACUAGGUACGUACUACAACGAUGAAACGUCGUCAUGUAUAAUAACCGAGGAAAAGGGAUGGUGUGAUUGUCCACCAAUUCUUUAUUAACAUGUAUUUCCUAGUUCUUUGUUGCCAAUGAGUAAAAGACCAUACAAGUGUAUAUGAUAAUAUAGUAUAAAUAAAUACAUCCUAGUGGUUUCCAAACAUUAAAAGAAAUUAGAAGCCUAUAUUAGAAGUGGAAAUAAUUGGUACAAACAAGAAAGAAAGACAGAUUAUUACAUCCUUAAUUAUUAAUGGUUAGUUUUCAUUUUGAUAAUAAUACGAUUGUGCUGAAAACGAUUAUCAAAUUUUUGUGUGUGAUUGAAGACCACAAAGAAACUUAGAUCGUGGAAAGAAAGAUUCUAUUUCGUAGGAAGAUAUACAUGAAUUCCAUGUAACACUAAUUCUGCUUAAUACUUUUUUUAUAAAGAAUUUUCUAAUAUCACAAACACACACAAGAUAGAUUUGAAUGUCGGUAACUUGAAACAAGGCAACUUAUCAACACACUAAAACCGUUUUGUUUAGUAUGAAAAGGCAUGUACGAGGGAUGACAUAAUGAGAUUCGUAAACUG
rnacentral:rRNA from 1 species